rnacentral:lncRNA from 1 species
GAGGCAUCGCAAGGGGGGGAGGCAUCGCAAGGGGGGGAGGCAUCGCAAGGGGGGGAGGCACCCCAUGCGAGGCGGGGACUGAGAACCAGCCCCUCUACCCCCCGUGGCUCUUAGGAGCCCGAUCGCGGGUGAGGGAAGCACCCCCCGCGAGGCGGGGACUGAGAGCAAGCCCCUUUUCCCCCCCUGGCUCUUAGAACAACCAACGCAGAGGGGGGAGGCACCCGCUGUGAGGCAUGAACUGAGAGCCAGACCCACUUCCCCCCAGCUCUUGGGAUCCCCAUCACAGGGGGGAGGCACCCCACAUGAGGCGGGGACUGAGAGACAGCCCCUCUGCCCCUCCUGGCUAUUAGGACCCCCGUCGCACAGGGGGGAGGGACCCCCCAUCGCACGGGGGAGAGGGACCCCCCGCGAGGCAGGGACGGAGAGCCUGCCGCUCUUCCCCCCGUGGCUCAUAGGACCCCCAUCGCAGGCGCUUGGCACCCCACGCGAGGCGGGUACUGAGAGCCAGCUCCUCUUCACCCCGGGUCUCUUAGGACUGCCAUCGCAGGGGGGUAGAGGUACCCCAUGCAAGGCGGGGACUGAGAGUCAGCCCCUCUUCACCUCUCGCUCUUAGGCCCCCAUCGCGGGGGGGGAGGCACCCCAUGCGAGGCGGGGAUUGAGAGCCAGCCCCACUUCCCCCCUGACUCUUGGGACCACCAUCGCAGUGGGGGCAGGACCCCCACCGCGGAUUCUAAGAUCCUUAGCACCCACCUGGAGGACUGUGGGUUUUAGGUGUCCAAGAAGAAAGCUCAGAUCUGCCGACGGCAGGUACCUUACUUGGGAUUUUCUAUACGACAGGGGUCCGAACGCAGCCCGGGAUCAGAAAGAAAGCAGGUCGUUUGCAAUCUACCGGAGCCUAAGGGCAGAAGGCAGGACCGUGGGAACAAUAUGCCAGGGGGAUUUCCACUUUCUGCCAUAUAUGUAGUCACAUCACCCACUCUGCUUUGGAAUAUUAUUAAGGACCAUCUAACACGAGGGUGUAUACGUCCUGCAAUACUACGAGUAAUAUCAACUUCUUGGCCUCUGAAUAUGAGGAAGAAUAUCACAGGGAUAUUAAUAACAAUUUCACAGGCUGGGUGAACACAGCCGGCAAUGCUGAAAUUAUUAUCAUCCUCUCCCCAUCUUCCCCUCCUGGCUCUUAGGACCCCCAUCGCAGGGGGCUGAGGCACCCCCCGCGAGGCGGGGACUGAGUGCCAGCCCCUCUUCCCUAGCCCCUUCGUCAGGGCUGAGAGAAUUUUGAGCGCUAGCCGUCUCUCGAUCGCUGGCUAAUAAAGAACUCCUGAAUUAGUCUCAAAGUGUGGCGUUCCUCUAUUACCCGCUUGGUUACAACAGCUUUAUAUUAAUAAUUGUAGUAAUAAAGUUGAUCGCACAUAGGAUGGAGGAGGCACCUGCCUGGUGAGAUGAGACAAUGGUCGGAUUCACUGAGGCUCCUGCGUGUCCCGGAUUUCCCGCUGGGGGAGGGUGUUCUGCUCAGCGGUUCCCACACCUGCUUCCAUGGGAGAAGC